rnacentral:tRNA from 1 species
AGGGAUGUAGCUCAGUGGUAGGGUGCUUGCCUAGCAUGCACAAGGCCCUGGGUUUAAUCCCUAGCAUCACAA